rnacentral:rRNA from 1 species
AUUGAACGCUGGCGGAAUGCUUUACACAUGCAAGUCGAGCGGCAGCGCGGUCUUCGGACUGGCGGCGAGCGGCGAACGGGUGAGUAAUACAUCGGAACAUGCCCAGUCGUGGGGGAUAACACUUCGAAAGAAGUGCUAAUACCGCAUACGUCCUGAGGGAGAAAGCGGGGGAUCGCAAGACCUCGCGCGAUUGGAGUGGCCGAUGUCAGAUUAGCUAGUUGGUGGGGUAAAGGCCUACCAAGGCAACGAUCUGUAGCUGGUCUGAGAGGAUGAUCAGCCACACUGGGACUGAGACACGGCCCAGACUCCUACGGGAGGCAGCAGUGGGGAAUUUUGGACAAUGGGGGCAACCCUGAUCCAGCCAUUCCGCGUGAGUGAAGAAGGCCUUAGGGUUGUAAAGCUCUUUUACCCGGGAUGAUAAUGACAGUACCGGGAGAAUAAGCUCCGGCUAACUCCGUGCCAGCAGCCGCGGUAAU